CGGACGGGUGAGUAACACGUGGAUAACCUACCUAUAAGACUGGGAUAACUUCGGGAAACCGGAGCUAAUACCGGAUAAUAUAUUGAACCGCAUGGUUCAAUAGUGAAAGACGGUUUUGCUGUCACUUAUAGAUGGAUCCGCGCCGCAUUAGCUAGUUGGUAAGGUAACGGCUUACCAAGGCAACGAUGCGUAGCCGACCUGAGAGGGUGAUCGGCCACACUGGAACUGAGACACGGUCCAGACUCCUACGGGAGGCAGCAGGU
rnacentral:rRNA from 1 species